rnacentral:lncRNA from 1 species
CAAAAAUCUUAAAAACACUGAAAUUGUUUACAAAGAAUUCAAGUGCGAUUGUCACUAGGUAGGAGGCACUGGUAAACUGAGGCGCGGUUGCCGUGCCACCAUGUGCUAGGUCGGCCAUACGCGUAUUAACAAACUACGUUACCAGAGGCAAAGUUCGUAACCCGAUUUGGAUUUUACGAAGAAAUUGGGCUUGUAACCCGAAAAGUUUGUAAAGAGGGGCAUUCGUAAGCCGAUGUGUCACUUUAUAUCCAACUGUACAAUGAAUUACAGAAAUACAGUAACAUAAGCAAUCAACACAUGCAUUUACCUCAGGGUCACCAUAUAUCUAGUAGCAUUGGCAUGGACUUGAUGCCAACAGCUUGUCAAAGGUUCCCAUUUUUCCUGAUGAUUUUUUAGUUUUAUUUUGAACUGCAAUAAUGUCUUGGCAUUUAUGACUUUGGCAGGUAUGUGGUUCCAUGGGGUUAUAACCCAAUGGGUCAAAAACCAUCUCCUGUUUUCUGUCCUACAUUUUGACUUGUUCAGCUUGAAGCUGUUGCUCUUUGUAUGUGUUACACUUGACCUUUUAAAGAAGAGGUCUGGAUCAAUAUCCUCCAAACUGUUCAGUAUAUUACAAGUAUCGAUGAGGUCAGCCCUGAUAUGUGUGGAUUACAGCAUUGCUAGUUCUCUGGCCCUCGACCAUUCCUGAUAUGAAAGUCAACUUUUGUUUGGGAAUGAUUUUUGUUGCCUGGCAUUGAACUUUCUCCAAAGCAGACAUGUUCUUAUAAUGAGGAUGGAUACAGUAGUCCAGACAGGUGCACCAGAGAUUUGUACAGUUGAACGAGACAAUUUAUGGAAUGGUGCCAUGGACGAAAUGAUGCUGUAUGCAAGCAACAGCGGCUCCACCAACACCAAAUGAUAAAGAGGUGACAGUAUUAGGCAUGACAAAGGAAAGUACUACGCAGACUGACACUGAAGCCAAACGAAGAGACAAGAGGCAAAAUUAGCACCAGGCAACUUCAUACUGCUGCUGCAAAGAAUGAUGCAGGCAAGAUGCUAAUAACCCAGCCACCUAUUUCCAUACAAAUAGCAAUAGACCUGUGUCACAAAUUCCAGAUUUGUAGAGCAGAGAUGAUCAAAUCAGCAAAGUAUGUCAUUAGACCAAUCUGCUGAUACAACUUAUUCUCUUGCAAAUUACGUCUGAAUUUGGCCGUUUACCGGAAUAGCCGAAAAUGGGCGCAAUUUAAAAUAAAAAAAAAUGAAAAUAAAUUUCAAUUUUUUUUUUUCCAAAACAGUACGUUAAGGGUGCUCUGGUAGGUUAGGAGGGCUGGAAAUUCUCCUAAUGUUUCAAAACAUCAUUAAAAACGUUAACUGAAAGUUUCCUCUCUUAACCUUUCCGAGGAAGCCAGAGGACUCAAACAGAAAAUGGGACAGUACAUCACUUUGUGAGCCGAUUUCAUUUAAAAUUACUGUAUGUCCAUUGGUGGAGCCGCCGGAAAAUUUGUGGGAUCAGAGACCAGGCAACCAGGUGAUAUGUUCAGUAUGUUACAUGAACCCUAAAUCUUAAUUAAAGAAAUCUAGUGCAUGAAAAAGUCACAAUAACUCUGCUCAAAGUAACUAAUUAUCAAGAGAAGGCACAAAGCUGGAAAAUGUGCCUGAAAAUAAAUAACCCAACACACACACAACAAAAAAGGAGAGUGACAACUUGAUAAGGAUCCAGGAAAGGCAAAAUAAUGUCAUUUUCCUUUCUUUUCAAGUGGGGGGGGGGGGGGCACUAGUUGUUUAUGAAAACUAUUGAUUGAUGUAUACUGUACAAUUAGAAUUUGCAGUAAUUAGGUAGCUAACAUAAUUAGCUAAUAUAACAAAACAUAACAAAAACAUAAUUUGGUGGCUAACAUAACA